rnacentral:rRNA from 1 species
AGUACCGUGAGGGAAAGGUGAAAAGAACCGCGGGAGCGGAGUGAAAGAGAACCUGAAACCGUAUGUCUACAAGCAGUCGGAGCGCAAGCGACGGCGUGCCUAUUGAAGAAUGAGCCAACGAGUUACGGGCACCAGCGAGGUUAAGCAGAAAAUGCGGAGCCGUAGGGAAACCGAGUCUGAAAAGGGCGGAUAGUUGGUGUUCGUAGACCCGAAACUGUAGUGAUCUACCCAUGAUCAGGUUGAAGCACGGGUAAAAUCGUGUGGAGGACCGAACCGGUGAGUGUUGAAAAACUUUCGGAUGAAUCGUGGGUAGCGGUGAAAUUCCAAUCGAACGCAGAGAUAGCUGGUUCUCCUCGAAAUAGCUUUAGGGCUAGCCUCAGGCAGUAAGCAUAGGCGGUAGAGCACUGAUCGGGAUAGGGACUGUAAUGGUUACCGAACCCUGUCAAACUACGAAUGGUUAUGCUGCAGAGCCUGGGAGUCAGACUACGAGAGAUAAGUCCCGUUGUCAAAAGGGAAACAGCCCAGACCAUCAGCUAAGGUCCCCAAUGCCAUACUAAGUGGAAAAGGAUGUGGGGUCUCAUAAACAACCAGGAUGUUGGCUCAGAAGCAGCCACCAUUUAAAGAGUGCGUAAUAGCUCACUGGUCGAGAGGCCCUGCGCCGAAGAUUCCCGGGGCUAAAGUAUGGAACCGAAGCUAUGGAUGCAUACGUAGGUAUGCGUGGUAGAGGAGCGUUCCCAUCGGGUUGAAGUCGUCCUGGAAGGGACGGUGGACUGGUGGGAAGUGAGAAUGUUGGCAUGAGUAGCGAAAAGAAUGGUGAGAAUCCAUUCCACCGAAAGCAUAAGGAUUCCUGAGCAACGAUCGUCGUCUCAGGGUAAGUCGGGACCUAAUCCGAGGCAAAGAGCGUAGGAGAUGGACAACUGGUUGAUAUUCCAGUACCGGCAGUGAUCGUUUGAACGAAGGAGUGACGCAGGAAGGCAGGUCCGCACGAGAUUGGUAGAUCGUGUGCAAGCGUGCAGGCUGGUUACCAGGCAAAUCCGGUAACUGAGGCUGAGGCGUGAUGCGGAGGGAACUUGUUCCCGAAGGGAUUGAGCCUACGCUGCCGAGAAAAGCUUCUAGUGAGAAAGCUGCCGCCCGUACCGUAAACCGACACAGGUAUGCGGGGAGAGAAUCCUAAGGUGCGCGGGAGAACCCUCGUUAAGGAACUCGGCAAAAUGUACCCGUAACUUCGGGAUAAGGGUAGCCACAAAGGUGAAGGGACUAGCUCCCGGAGCCCGGUGUGGUCGCAGAGAAGAGGCCCAAGCGACUGUUAACCAGAAACACAGGUGCCUGCGAAAGAGAAAUCUGAAGUAUAGGUGCUGACACCUGCCCAGUGCUGGAAGGUUAAAGAAGGAUGUCCGGGUUCGACCCAAAGCAUUCGACUGAAGCCCCAGUGAACGGCGGCCGUAACUAUAACGGUCCUAAGGUAGCGAAAUUCCUUGUCGGGUAAGUUCCGACCCGCACGAAAGGUGUAACGAUUUGGGCACUGUCUCAACGAGGGACCCGGUGAAAUUGAAAUACCUGUGAAGAUGCAGGUUACCCGCGACUGGACAGAAAGACCCCAUGGAGCUUUACUGUAACCUAAUAUUGGGUUCUGAUACUUGAUGCACAGGAUAGGUGGGAGGCAUGGAAGGCAGUCCUCUGGGAUUGCCGGAGCCGACGUUGGGAUACCACCCUUCAAUUAUCGGGAUUCUAACCGAGCGAGUAACGAUCGCCGGGACAGUGUUAGGCGGGCAGUUUGACUGGGGCGGUCGCCUCCCAAAGAGUAACGGAGGCGCCCAAAGGUUCCCUCAGCGCGGACGGAAACCGCGCGCGGAGUGUAAAGGCAGAAGGGAGCUUGACUGCGAGCCAAACACGGCGAGCAGGUACGAAAGUAGGGCUUAGUGAUCCGGUGGCAUCCAAGUGGAAGGGCCAUCGCUCAACGGAUAAAAGCUACCCUGGGGAUAACAGGCUAAUCUCUCCCA